UCUUUUAGAGCUGACAGGAUGCUGUUAGAGCCGGCAGAACGCUGUUAGAGCCGGUAGGAUACUGUUAGAGCUGACAGGAGGCUUUUAGAGCUGACAGGACGCUUUUAGAGCUGACAGGAUGCUGUUAGAGCCGGCAGAACGCUGUUAGAGCUGGUAGGAUGCUGUUAGAGCCGGCAGGAUGCUGUUAGAGCCGGUAGGAGGCUGUUAGAGCCGGCAGGACGCUGUUAGAGCCGGUAGGAUGCUGUUAGAACUGGUAGGAUGCCCUUAGAGCUGGUAGGACGCUGUUAGAGCCGGCAAGACACUGUUAGAGCCGGUAGGAUGCUGUUAGAGCUGGUAGGAUGCUGUUAGAGUCGGUAGGACGCUGUUAGAGCUGGUAGUAUGCCCUUAGAGCUGGUAGGACGCUGUUAGAGCUGGUAGGAUGCCCUUAGAGCUGGUAGGAUGCCGUUAGAGCUGGUAGGACGCUGUUAGAGCUGGUAGUAUGCCCUUAGAGCUGGUAGGAUGCUGUUAGAGCCGGUAGGAUGCUGUUAGAGCUGGUAGUAUGACCUUAGAGCUGGUAGGAUGCUGUUAGAGCUGGUAGGAGCUGGUAGGACACUGUUAGAGCUGGUAGGAUGCUGUUAGAGCUGGUAGGACGCCGUUAGAGCUGGUAGGACGCCGUUAGAGCAGGUAGGAUGCCCUUAGAGCUGGUAGAUGCCGUUAGAGCUGGUAGGAUGCCGUUAGAGCUGGUAGGACGCCGUUAGAGCUAGCAGGACGUUGAAAGAGACCAGAGGAAGAACACAAACAUGAUGACAGUGUUUCAGAGAGGACAGGAGAAGUUAUAACUCCUUAUUCAUCAUCCAUCAGCCGUAAUAAAGUUUAUUCGACGCCAUCGUAUGGGUUUGGAGAGUGCUACGAUCCCGUCUGGUUUCUUCUGGAUUCCUGCUGUGGUUGUCUUCCAUUUGUUUAGGAGGCGGGUUAAGUGAUGAGCUCAGCCAGCAGCUCAGGUUUCAAAGACAGGACUGGAUAA
ensembl:lncRNA